UGGGCACAUUAAUUUCGAGAAAUUUUGGCAACUGGCGAAGCAGGUAACAGAAUUCAUCGCCUGGAAACAAGUUGCUUGUCCGUUUGAGAAAAGUCCACGUGUCAUUGCUUUUCUUCAGGCGAGCCCGGUGCUGACUGAAAAUGCUCUAGCUUUGGCAUCCUUCGAGUGCGAACCACCAGACAACAAUCCAGAAAAAGAACGUUACAAAGCAUUGAAGUCUGAACUGAAUGCCCAGUGAAAACGAGUGACCAUACACCGCGUCGAAUGGGAACGAUAUUGAGACAGACGCGCUCUUCUAAAACUACGUUUCCAGACAUUAAUCACGCACGAAUCUCUCCUAAGAAGAAGCAAAUCGAGAGGAAGGAACCA